AUACUCCACUUCCUCUGCGUUAUGUACAAAUAUUUUGCCUUUUGCUAAAGAUUUCCGAGGCGGAGAAUAACUUUGAGUCUCACUUAAUUGUUUGAGGACUUGCUUUGACAGGGCU
ensembl:snRNA U5 U5 spliceosomal RNA